GACGAACGCUGGCGGCGUGCUUAACACAUGCAAGUCGAACGGUAAGGCCCCUCGGGGUACACGAGUGGCGAACGGGUGAGUAACACGUGGGUGAUCUGCCCUGCACUUCGGGAUAAGCCUGGGAAACUGGGUCUAAUACCGGAUAGGACUCCGGCAGACAUGGUCUGGGCGGGAAAGCUUUUGCGGUUUGGGGUGGGCCCGCGGCCUAUCAGCUUGUUGGUGGGGUGAUGGCCUGCCAAGGCGACGACGGGUAGCCGGCCUGAGAGGGUGACCGGCCACACUGGGACUGAGAUACGGCCCAGACUCCUACGGGAGGCAGCAGUGGGGAAUAUUGCACAAUGGGCGCAAGCCUGAUGCAGCGACGCCGCGUGAGGGAUGACGGCCUUCGGGUUGUAAACCUCUUUCAGCAUCGACGAAGCGAAAGUGACGGUAGGUGCAGAAGAAGGACCGGCUAACUACGUGCCAGCCGCCGCGGUAA
rnacentral:rRNA from 1 species